ensembl:lncRNA
CCCAAAUCCGCCGGCCCUUCUGUGAUAAUCUUUCAAUCUCUCUCGAUCAGCCUGUUUGUGUCUCUGUGUUUUAGGUGCUGUCUGUCCCGCGCCUGGUUCCUGGUCACAGCGCCAUGGUGCACUUUGAUGUCCUGAACCACGGCCCGGCCCGACUCUUUAAUCUGACGGCUGAUGAUGACUCCGGAUAUCUUCAUCAGAGAGGACCUCACAGCUUCCCUGUCGCAGAACGAGGGUCUCUGCGUGGUCAGGUGGACCUCCACACACCUGCCACGGCCGAGGCAGGACAGACUGUCACCCUGACACUCACCGUACGCGCUCUUGAUUCCCCAGACUCAAAUUAUGCAGUGGCUUACCUGACAGUUUUCCCUCCGGACCCUGACAUUUCCCCUCCCUCAUGCUCCACAACACAAGUACAGCGGCCCUGCCCUGCCCAGUGCACCAACUCCACAUGGAGUGUAUCACUGGCCGUGUCAGACAGGGGGCGCUCUGGCCUUGCUGCCCUGCAGCUGCAUCAGGGUGGGGGCGUUCUCACUCUGUUCCACAGCCCCCCAACAACAGGGGACAGCCUGGAAGAGGCCCAGCUCCAGGCAGACCAAAACAGGACAGGCCACGGGAGCCAUCACCGCCCCCACUCCCACCCCCACCACAGAGCCCGAUUAAAGAAAGGAGACCCUCCUAUGAACGUGUCUGAGUGGGUGGCAGGCUCAUCUCAGCCCUUGUGGGGAAGGUACACGUCCAGCUGCUGUGCUCCUCAGGCAGAGCUGCUGGUGUGGGACGGGGCAGGGAACAUGAGGCGCUGCCAUCUAAGCUCCAGCCAGCAGAGGCAGAAAAAGGAGAGAAGCACAGAAACCAGUGGAGCUGGAACAAUGACACACACAAGCUUUUUACCCCCUUGCAUUGGGCUUAUUAUUGUCAGUAUGACUACAAAGGUGUUUUGCUGGUCAAACUAAUCUGUGUGUUGACUACUGGAUUCCAGCACGCUCAGCGUCAGAUGAGCUAAACAACGGACAUAUCAUGGCUAAUAUUGUGCUCAAAGACAUACCGUGUGCCAAGCAUACAGCUGUUUUUUUAAUCAAAAUGAUUAUCUGGAUAGUUAUGGACUCCGAGGGAAACUUCACCCACCUGUUCCAUGAGACAGGUGUAUAGGACCUGCCUUUCAAAAAGACUCACGCACAUUGUUGAACUUGCAAUAAUAAAUUUGCUUUGCAAUGUUUUGGCACUAGUCCUUGAUCAGGGAAGUUAUGGACACAUCAUGGACAAAAUUUUAAGAGCAAAUAAUCAUGCAUUUAAUGCACAAGAAAUUGUCUUAAUGAUAUUUUUUUACAUCAAUAGUUGCUGUAACAAAUCAUCAUAAUGUUAAUAAAUGUUUGGUUGCUGUACCAAGUAUAUAUGCUGCAUUUUGAAACAGUUUCAUGCCAGGACAGUUUUGUAUACCAGUAAUUGGUAUCAAUUUGAUAUUGUGCUGUUACAUCAAAAUGAAGGACCUGCUGCACAGCGUACAUUACCCACACACCCACACUCAGUCAGAACCUCUUCAUAAGAUCUUCCUCACAUACAGACUACUGAUUGCUCAUGCGUUUGCCACUGUGAUUCUUAAACCAAGUUCACUGAAUAAAGGAAUGAAU